rnacentral:rRNA from 1 species
GACGAACGCUGGCGGCGUGCCUAAUACAUGCAAGUUGAGCGCUGAAGGUUGGUACUUGUACCAACUGGAUGAGCAGCGAACGGGUGAGUAACGCGUGGGGAAUCUGCCUUUGAGCGGGGGACAACAUUUGGAAACGAAUGCUAAUACCGCAUAAAAACUUUAAACACAAGUUUUAAGUUUGAAAGAUGCAAUUGCAUCACUCAAAGAUGAUCCCGCGUUGUAUUAGCUAGUUGGUGAGGUAAAGGCUCACCAAGGCGAUGAUACAUAGCCGACCUGAGAGGGUGGACGGCCGCAUUGGGACUGAGACACGGCCCAAACUCCUACGGGAGGCAGCAGUAGGGAAUCUUCGGCAAUGGACGAAAGUCUGACCGAGCAACGCCGCGUGAGGGAAGAAGGGUUUCGGAUCGUAAAACUCUGUUGGUAGAGAAGAACGUUGGUGAGAGUGGAAAGCUCAUCAAGUGACGGUAACUACCCAGAAAGGGACGGCUAACUACGUG